rnacentral:rRNA from 1 species
GACGAACGCUGGCGGCGUGCCUAAUACAUGCAAGUCGAACGCUUCUUUCCUCCCGAGUGCUUGCACUCAAUUGGAAAGAGGAGUGGCGGACGGGUGAGUAACACGUGGGUAACCUACCCAUCAGAGGGGGAUAACACUUGGAAACAGGUGCUAAUACCGCAUAACAGUUUAUGCCGCAUGGCAUAAGAGUGAAAGGCGCUAUCGGGUGUCGCUGAUGGAUGGACCCGCGGUGCAUUAGCUAGUUGGUGAGGUACCGGCUCACCAAGGCCACGAUCCAUAGCCGGCCUUAGAGGGUGACCGGCCACACUGCGACUGAGACACGGCCCGGACUCCUACGGGAGGCAGCAGUAGGGAAUCUUCGGCAAUGGACGAAAGUCUGACCGUGCAACGCCGCGUGAGUGAAGAAGGUUUUCGGAUCGUAAAACUCUGUUGUUAGAGAAGAACGAGGACGUUAGUAACUGAACGUCCCCUGACGGUAUCUAACCAGAAAGCCACGGCUAACUACGUG